UUUAAUCAAAGGUGGGAACCGAGGGACUCAAGAUCUUAUGGAGCAAGAGCGCUGCCUCAAGAAACCACACUGUUUUUAUUAUGUUCUUUAGGAUUACUUCAAGUGAGGAAGGGGCUGCAAGUGCAGAAUAGUUGUUGUUUUAAAGUCACAUAGCUGGUUAACUCUUACUCUGACCUUUAGGCAUUUAACAAUCAUUAGCAUUGAGGAAGGCUGGCAUCAGCUGUUUAUGCAUAGCAUCUAGAGAACCACCUUUGUGCUUCCACAGACAGUGUGCCUAUCUGUGGCAACCAGGUGUGCCUAGGUUUGCACCCCGUUCUCCUUGCUGAUGCCUAUCCUGCUAACGACUCCUCAUAGACCCCUUGGAACCAUGAGGCUCCUCUUCCUCUUAUCUUAACAGGACGUAUCAUGCUGUGCAAACGGCAUGCCUAUCUGCACAGGUCCAGCAUACCUAGACUGACACAUUUUGUCCUCCUUCAGCUGACCACGUAAAUGACUUAUGCCUUUUGGUCUUUGUUCUUAAGCUUAAAUUAUUUACCAGCACUGCGACUGUUUCUCAAGCAGGAAUAUAGGGUGGAGGUAAAGCAAGACAAGAUGGACUUUUCAGCAUAGAAAAUGGAAGUAGAGAGGCUAAGUAAGUUAUAGAAACAUGUCUCCCAACAUGUUCCCCUUUUUGCUUUUGUAGGAGGACGAAAAUAGAUCUUGCAACUUCUUUGUCAUUACUUCUUGGAUUGCCAGCUUCAUGCAUCUACAGACUUAAUAGAAAAUCAUUAAGAAUCCUAGAAAAGCAAUUAGUGAUCUGAUCAUUCCUCCACCAAAACCUUUAAACCAUUUUAAAUAAUUAUUUUUAAAUCUUCCAGAAUAUUAUCCAGUACCUCUUUAUGAGGUAUAUUUUGUAGAGAGGCCUUUUGAAUACUCAGGACUCUAGUCUGCAGUUUCUUUAUAUCCAGUGUCAACUCAUCCGAGUGACCUUGUAGAUGCUUCUUAAUUUGUUCCCAUGAUGUUUCACUAGAGUUGUAUUCAUACAGAGUAACACAAUAAGAAGUAACAUUCCAAUCACACUUUAGCUGACUUUGUAAUCUCAAAUUUUGGACUUCACCUCCCAGAACCAAAACAGCAUUUUCUAAAUCAGUAAGUUUAUGAUUAAUUUGUUCAUCAUCCUUCUCCUGGGGUCCAGAGUCAAGGGAUGCUUCCUGGGCUCACUCAUGAUAUGGUUUGAUUCUUCUUGAUGGAAUCCAAACAUGUAGUCAGUGACCUGGCGAGAUACAAGCAUAUCCCCUACCCCAUGUAAUAAGCUUUCCUGGGGACCAGAUGUUUGUUAAUGGAUCCUGUCACCCAAUCAGGAGCUGUUCAGCCUGGGGUAAGUUAAUCUUAUUUUCUUCUGAGGCCAAAUAUAAAAAAUUUAGAGUGAAUAAAGUUUUAAGUGAAAGUGUGUGUUGUGACAUAAGUAUUCCUGUGUCUCCCCCUUUUUGUUUUUGAAGAGCCUGCUUCACAGAUAAAUUGGCUUGUUCUCCAAUUGCCUGUCCUUGGGGGUUGUAAGGGAGACCGGUGGAGUGAGCAACAUGCCAUGUGUCCAGAAACAUUUUAAAUUGAGAACUGAUAUAAGCGGGACUAUUAUCAAUUUAAAUUGCCUACGGCAGGCCCGUAACUGCAAAACAGGCAUGUAAAUCAUGACUAACAUGUUUAGCAGAUUCACCAGAUUGAGCAGUAGCCCAAAUACAUUUAGAGCAAGUGUCAAUACACACCUGAAUGAAUGACCAUUUUCCAAAAGACAGUAAUGGGUAACAUCCAUUUGCCAGAGAGCAUUUGGGAUGAGUCCCCUAGAGGUAAGUCCAGGCUCGGAUUGAGAAGGAUUGUUAAAAAUCUGACAUGCAGGGCAUUGAUGGACAAUUUUUUUGGCUUUAGUCCCGGUUAUUCCAAAUCUCUUUUUAAGGCCUCGAGCAUUCAAGUGUGUCAAAUCGUGAAAAUGUGGAGCUUCUUGUAACAAGGGUGCCACCAAGUGGUCAAUUUCUUUAUUUCCUGCAAUUAGAGGCCCAGGUAAGUUAGUAUGUGCUCUGAUACAGGUAAUAUAAAAUGGCUAUCUUCU
ensembl:lncRNA